rnacentral:rRNA from 1 species
AAACUUAAAGGAAUUGACGGAAGGGCACCACCAGGAGUGGAGCCUGCGGCUUAAUUUGACUCAACACGGGAAAUCUCACCAGGCCCGGACACUGGAAGGAUUGACAGAUUGAGAGCUCUUUCUCGAUUCGGUGGGUGGUGGUGCAUGGCCGUUCUUAGUUGGUGGAGUGAUUUGUCUGGUUAAUUCCGAUAACGAACGAGACUCUCCCCUGCUAACGGACCUUAGUGUUUUUCUAGACGGUGUGAUUCGGAGCAAGAGUCCAUGGGCGUAAGCCCCGGUCUCGGACGAUGUCCACUGAUCCUUGGUGCGUUGGUGUUCCGCGUGCCAUCGGAGAGUCGAGUGUUCGCAUUCUUCGCCUCUGUGGAUUUCUCGGUUCAUUGACAAAGCGCCUCGGAGUACGUUUCUUCUUAGAGGGAUUGACGACUUAUAAGUCGUAAGAAACAGGGAGCAAUAACAGGUCUGUGAUGCCCUUAG